AAAAUGCCAGAUCCGUCCACAUAACUUCGACCGAACUGCUAACCCUAAAGCCGAUCUUUCCCCCAUCCUCCUCCCUUUGUGCGCCGCCACCCAUCUCUCUGCAUACCGAUGCCCCUCCCCUCCCUGCUUCAGACAAUCCACCACGGAUCCUCACCAAAUACCGUCGAUCUCCCAAGCCGCAGACGCAACCCGCCAUGGCCUCCGCGUUUGAUCUGGAGAGCAAGACGUCGAUUUUGAGCUAGCUGUCGAGCGCUGCACCAACGCUAGCGUUGUCGGGCCAGCCACCGUGGAGUUCUUCUCCGACCUCGCCGCAGACGCAACCCGCGGCGUCUCCGAUCUCGGCUAGAUCGGAUCCGCCAGCAAGUUCUCUUCUCACCAGCGGCAGGUCUUCCGCGUCAGCGACCACGCGGGGCUCACGGUAGAUGGCCGCGUCCUAUCCGGAUUCCUCUGCAACGAGUACAUCAACCACUCCUUCAUCUACUACGCCCCCUCCUCGUCUCCAGGCUCUCACCCCACCUCGUUAUAAGGUGCAGGUUGCAAGUUGAAGGGGAAGUGAGCUCCUAUGGCGGUGACUCCAGCGCGCUACGGUCUGAUGAACGGAGCCAAUGACAAGGGCCUGAGGUGAAGGACCUGUGAGCACCAAGGUUCUCAUUGUCAUCGCACGCCUAAGGGGUCUGCUCGACCAGAUCCUCUCCAUCUCGAACUUCCUCACCGACGCUGGCAGGAGGCAGGGUGGAGGUGGCACCAGCCUCAAGAUUGAUAUCACAGCCUCAUGAACACUAGCGGGCUCCUUAGCUGCUGUUACAGAGGAUGAGAAACGUAAAGUUAUAUCAAAUAUAAAUAACAAGGCUUGCUGAUCCCAUUUGCAUAUGUUGCUACAGCACAACAACCAAUGAUGUUAUUAGGAGUACCAACUGCACAAGCCCCACGUGAUAAUGAGUACCCUAUGCUAUUGAAGAAGGCAGAAGAUGGAUGAGGUUUGCUCACUUGGGAAAAUGCUAGCAGGUAAAGGUUAUGUGAACAAUACAUGGGAGAUGUUACAAACUUGCAUCACUUGUAGUACUUCUUUGCUAUGUAACGUGUCAUGUGAAACUGUGAACUUGGCUGUCAUGUUCAUGGUGUUGUGUAAUUCAGUGAGAUUAUAAGUUAGAUGUUAUCUGCUAUUUCAUCUGUAUAUAUCUGCUAAAAGGAAGUGCAAGAAAAAUAUUGUUAUCUUA